GAGAAAACAAGCAUAAAGAAGAACCUGUUCCACAAAAACAACAAUUCAGCUCUACAUCCAGAACUUCAGACAAUGAACAUCAACUAGGAAUGUGUCUGUCCUCAUAACGAUUCCCAGUCUAGACACCAUGGAUAUGAGAAGUGAUCAAGGAUCACUACGUGGCACAGAUACUCUACCAGACUGCCCACCAGCUUGGCACCAAGUCAGGUUUCCAGUGAUAAAGUCAACCUUCCUGUCUCUCUCCUUCGGGGCAAACAGGUGCUCUUGCAGAAAGUUACACAACUCUGCACCUCGAUUCAACUCUAAAGUCAUAAUGUGUAACCAUAGUGGCCACGUCAAAGCUGUUCAAUUUUCUUUCAAUUAAUCCUUAAUUAACUCCUUGGAGCAUUCCUCAUAGAAGCAAUUCUUCUUUCCUCACUCCCUGAGAUUCCUUCCCAUGUUUUAGCUCACCCAAUCACAGCAGUUGACCUCACAUCCUUCUUUAUCUGGAGGGGUUGGACCAUCCAUCCUGUCCUACUCUUUUGCCCUCUCUACUAUACACUGAGUACAGGACC